UCCGUCGUGGUGCAGUGGUAGCCACGCUAGAUAAAUAUCUGAGGAGCACGUCGGCACUGCCAUGUGGAGCCCAAUGGGUCAGCCAUUGGGGAGCCCGCCCCGGGGUAGGGGAGCUCAGUUCAAAGUUCAGAGACCCGAGUUCGAUUCUCGGCGACGGAA